UACGUAGGAGGCAAGCGUUGUCCGGAAUUACUGGGCGUAAAGCGCGUGUAGGUGGUGGGACAAGUCUGCUGUGAAAGCGCCUGGCUUAACCGGGCGAGGUCGGCGGAAACUGUCCGACUCGAGGACGGUAGAGGGGGUGGAAUUCCCGGUGUAGUGGUGAAAUGCGUAGAGAUCGGGAGGAACACCUGUGGCGAAGGCGGCCCCUGGUCAAGAUUGACGCUCAUGCACGAA
rnacentral:rRNA from 1 species